GAUGAACGCUGGCGGCGUGCCUAAUACAUGCAAGUCGAGCGAACGGACGAGAAGCUUGCUUCUCUGAUGUUAGCGGCGGACGGGUGAGUAACACGUGGAUAACCUACCUAUAAGACUGGGAUAACUUCGGGAAACCGUAGCUAAUACCGGAUAAUAUUUUGAACCGCAUGGUUCAAAAGUGAAAGACGGUCUUGCUGUCACUUAUAGAUGGAUCCGCGCUGCAUUAGCUAGUUGGUAAGGUAACGGCUUACCAAGGCAACGAUGCAUAGCCGACCUGAGAGGGUGAUCAGCCACACUGGAACUGAGACACGGUCCAGACUCCUACGGGAGGCAGCAGUAGGGAAUCUUCCGCAAUGGGCGAAAGCCUGACGGAGCAACGCCGCGUGAGUGAUGAAGGUCUUCGGAUCGUAAAACUCUGUUAUUAGGGACGAACAUAUGUGUAAGUAACUGUGCACAUCUUGACGGUACCUAAUCAGAAAGCCACGGCUAACUACGUG
rnacentral:rRNA from 1 species